UAGGGAAUUUUUCACAAUGAGCGAAAGCUUGAUGGAGCAAUGCCGCGUGAACGAUGAAGGUCUUUAAGAUUGUAAAGUUCUUUUAUUUGGGAAGAAUGACUUUAGCAGGUAAUGGCUAGAGUUUGACUGUACCAUUUUGAAUAAGUGACGACUAACUAUGUGCCAGCAGUCGCGGUAAUACAUAGGUCGCAAGCGUUAUCCGGAUUUAUUGGGCGUAAAGCAAGCGCAGGCGGAUUGAAAAGUCUGGUGUUAAAGGCAGCUGCUUAACAGUUGUAUGCAUUGGAAACUAUUAAUCUAGAGUGUGGUAGGGAGUUUUGGAAUUUCAUGUGGAGCGGUGAAAUGCGUAGAUAUAUGAAGGAACACCAGUGGCGAAGGCGAAAACUUAGGCCAUUACUGACGCUUAGGCUUGAAAGUGUGGGGAGCAAAUAGGAUUAGAUACCCUAGUAGUCCACACCGUAAACGAUAGAUACUAGCUGUCGGGGGCGAUCCCCUCGGUAGUGAAGUUAACACAUUAAGUAUCUCGCCUGGGUAGUACAUUCGCAAGAAUG
rnacentral:rRNA from 1 species